UGAAAGACAGCAUUCAGCUACAGGACUCAAGCAUUUCUGUCUACCCCCUCUCCAGAGAUCAGUCUGAUAUGCACCCCUCCCCAACCAAUAUCAGAAAUAUGCACUGGACAUUUGGAUCACAACGCGAAGCACAAUAGAACUGAUUUCAGAUUACGAGCUGUUUGGCACCUCCCCUGCCUCCACCUGAGUUGAUAUGAAAAAAACAAAUGAGGAUAAUGGAUUACACUGAAUAUGACGAACGCUACGAUCCUCAAAGACUUCCAAAUUAUUAUUCCGGCUUAUGUACAAAUCACGGUGUGGCUCUUGUGAGAACGGUCUGUCUAGCUUCGUAAGAAAUGAGAGCCUGAAGACGCCCUGGGAGACAGGGAACCAAGUCCCUGCAUCCAGAUGGACUGACCACAUGUCAGAAAAACAGGACAGUAUUCUGCUCAUAUUAAAUCUUCAGUGUGAACAGAGAGAGGGUACUGUGAGCUGCUGAAAAACAUGAGUGACCUGCCCUAUCUUUAGCAGGUGUGGCACGCUGGGGAGCACACUAUAAUCUGGGGAGUGGCAAGUGCUAGAGAAACAAGACAGUACUGACUCUGAGCACCGCGAAUCUAAUCUAGUCCCAUACUGAGAGAACGGAAACUCCGGAUUCUGUUAGAGCCCUGUCGAUCCUGAAUGAAGCCUCAUCCAUUUAAUCUAAUCAGGAACAACCCUUUCAACAAGCAGACAGGUUCUACUUCAGAAUCCAACAGGUAACUGGGGUUCAAGAGCUCCACAGCUGAUUUCCUGAGGAGAUCAGGUGGACUGUUUGCUACUCUUCUGGCAGGAAGGUCUGCUGGUAUUUACAGGUCAGUGAACAGUAAGCAGGGAGAGAGCACCAUCCAUCAGCAAAGGAGAACUCAUCUGCUACUUGAUCUGACGUUCUGUUUGUGCUCACGCGGUCUCCAGAGAGAAAGGUGCAUCCAUUUGAAUAAACAUGGAGACAGGAGGAAGGGGGAAGGGCAAAGCAGCCAAAGAGAAGAUUGCAGAAAUAACAAGUCCACAAAUCUAGAAGAGUAGUUCUCCAGAGUGCUGCCUCCACAUGGGACCCUUCUGGGAUGUGCAGGAAACGCCCUUUAAGACGGCUGCACUCUAGAGUGAUGGCUGCAAGUGGCCAUUCCCUUCCACUUAGUAGGUGCUGCACAGCAGCGUGCUGAAUGAACACAGGCUUGCCAUGAACCUAAGCCAAACAGGAGACACCCUAGGUACAAAGGCAGGGUCAGCUGGUGGGAGGACACCCCCAGCUUUUGGCAGCAGGUGACGUCUUAAGACUCCCUGCCCCAACAGGAUGGGGUCUGUCCUCAGAAUCAUAACCUGUUGUAAGGGCUGGGAUAUUUGUGUGAGAAAGGAUGUCUUCACCAGGCAAAUCCUGGAAUUUGUUUUACAGUGGAACUGAGCAGGUACCUUGGGAAUGAGCUCACACCCAAAGUGCUCCAUUUUACUGCGUCCAUUUAUAUAUAAAGCCAGCAGCUUGCAGGCCACGCCUCAAUGCCACCUUCCAACUCUCUAUCUUCCUAAAAAUCCACUUACUGCUUCAGAGACAGAUAGCCUGAACGUGACAUCACAGAAAACUCAACACUUCAAAUGAGGGCGAACCGUGGUACGUACAGCAACUCCACAAGUUCCUUUUACAUUUUCACCAGGUCGGUAGCCCUAACAGUUGUCACAGCUCAAAAUGGGAAGUACCUUAAAAUGAUAUUCUGUUGCUUCCAUACUUCAUAAAAUAUAAUUCUUCAAGAGAGCUCUUUGUAAGGGUUUUGCUAAUUAAGUAAAAUUAACACCUUUUAAAAUUUUGAUUAGUCUGAAUAAAGACUCCCACAGAUUGCAAAAAUGAUGCGGCCAUAUCACAGGUGAAGUCACGGCCUCCUAAUGAGCAGAAUUAUUUAAAUACCACAUAUUAAAAAAGGUCCCUGAUUACUCAUGGUGUGUGUAAAAUUUUAUUUGUGCUGCUUCAAUGAUCAUUGUUUAUUUCUCAGUACUGAAAUUAUGUUUUGGAUUGUCUGACACAGAGCUCCCAAAGGCUAACUCACGAUCACAUAUGCAAAGAAAAAAAAACACCCCAGCAAGCUAUGUUCAAAUGAAACUUUUAAUAAAGUAUUAAGAA